GACAGAGGGUGCAAACGUUGUUCGGAAUUACUGGGCGUAAAGCGUGCGUAGGUGGCUGCGUAAGUCGGAUGUGAAAGCCCUGGGCUCAACUCAGGAAGUGCACUCGAUACUGCGUAGCUCGAGUACCGGAGAGGUUGGUAGAAUUCUCGGUGUAGAGGUGAAAUUCGUAGAUAUCGAGAGGAAUACCUGUGGCGAAGGCGGCCAACUGGACGAGUACUGACACUGAGACACGAAAGCGUGGGGAGCAAACAGG
rnacentral:rRNA from 1 species